rnacentral:rRNA from 1 species
GACGAACGCUGGCGGCGUGCUUAACACAUGCAAGUCGAACGGAAAGGCCUGCUUUCCCUUGUGGAUUGCGGGUACUCGAGUGGCGAACGGGUGAGUAACACGUGAGUGAUCUGCCCCCAACUUGGGUAUAAGCCUGGGAAACUGGGUCUAAUUCCCGAUAGGACUGCAGGGUGGUGCCUGUGGUGGAAAACGAUUUUCUAGUGGUUGGGGAUGAGCUCGCGGCCUAUCAGCUUGUUGGUGGGGUAAUGGCCUACCAAGGCGGCGACGGGUAGCCGGCCUGGGAGGGUGGACGGGCACAUUGGGACUGGGGUACGGCCCAGACUCCUACGGGAGGCAGGAGUGGGGAAUAUUGCACAAUGGGCGGGAGCCUGAUGCAGCGACGCCGCGUGGGGGAUGACGGCCUUCGGGUUGUAAACUCCUUUCGACCGCGAGGAAGCCACCUGGUUGGAAGGGUGGUGACGGUAGUGGUAGAAGAAGCACCGGCUAACUACGUG